UGUCUUCUCAAGUUGAUCCUGAUAGUAACUACAAUUCAGGUUGAAGCGGUUGCAGAAACGUCUGGAAUAAAGGAGCGGUGCUUUGCUAUAUAUUGCACCCCUCUGGAGCCAGGCCCUGUGCAAACGAGAAUGACCCGCUUGCUUAUAACCGUCUCGUCUAGAGACAAAAGAUAGGGGCUAGGGGUCACCCCUGACCCCUAACCCCUAACUUUUUCUGACAACUUGACCUCAAAUCAGGUAGGACUACCCGCUGAACUUAAGCAUAUCAAUAAGCGGAGGAAAAGAAACUAACAAGGAUUCCCCUAGUAACUGCGAGUGAACCGGGAAGAGCUCAAAUUUAAAAUCUGGCGGUCCUCUAGCGGCCGUCCGAGUUGUAACCUAGAGAAGCGUCUAUCCGCGCUGGACCGUGUACAAGUCUCUUGGAAAAGAGCAUCAUAGAGGGUGACAAUCCCGUCUUUGACACGGAUCCCCAGGGCUUAUGUGAUCCGCUCUCGAUGAGUCGAGUUGUUUGGGAAUGCAGCUCAAAAUGGGUGGUAAAUUCCAUCUAAAGCUAAAUACAGGGGAGAGACCGAUAGCGAACAAGUACCGUGAGGGAAAGAUGAAAAGAACUUUGAAAAGAGAGUUAAACAGUACGUGAAAUUGUUGAAAGGGAAACGCUUCAAGUCAGUCACAUUGGUUGGGGAUCAACUUGCCUAUCAGGCAGGAGCACUUCCCGCCCAAUGGGUCAGCAUCAAUUUUGACCAUUGGAUAAAGGUCAAGGGGAAUGUGGCAUCCUUCACCGGAUGUGUUUAUAGCCUCUUGGUUGCAUACAACGGUUGGGAUUGAGGAACUCAGCACGCCUUCAAUGGCCGGGGGCUUUAUGCCCUACGUCUACGUGCUUAGGAUGCUGGCAUAAUGGCUUCAAUCGACCCGUCUUGA
rnacentral:rRNA from 1 species